rnacentral:rRNA from 1 species
UACGAGGGAUCCUAGCGUUGUUCGGAAUCAUUGGGCGUAAAGGGUGCGUAGGCGGCCAAGUAAGUCAGUUGUGAAAGCCCCGGGCUCAACCCGGGAAGUGCUUCUGAUACUGCUUGGCUUGAGUAUUGGAGAGGUGAGUGGAAUUCCAGGUGUAGUGGUGAAAUACGUAGAUAUUGGGAAGAACACCGGUGGCGAAGGCGGCGACCUGGUCCUUGACUGACGCUGAGGCGCGAAAGCGUGGGGAGCAAACAGG